GGAGGCAGAGAACAUCUUUAUAGGCUUCACAUUAUUUCUACAAAUGUACUGAAAAUACAAUGUCCCACAUACAAUCAAAGAUAAACAGGAAUUCAGGGGACAAGACAACAGGAACAAGACAAGCAACAGUCAAUUCUUGCUUUCUAAUGUGAUAAGAAUGUUAUGUAUGUCUUAGUAAUCACAGAUCUCAAGGCUGUUUCCUUUCAAAAUGUUUUAGGAUCAAAUCAUGGGAGAAAUGAAGAUUUAAUCAUUCCUAAAUUUAAGUCAGAUAGAAAGAAAUCAAUCUUUAGGAAUGUAUAGUGCUCAAAAUGAGAUCUACGAGGCAGUGAGAAUUUCAAACCAAAGCAGCAAAUGGUAAGAGACAGUGGUCCUUGAUGAUCAUCUGUAGAGUUCUUGGGGUUACUGUUUUCUGCUGUUCGUAUCAGUAUUGGCAUUAUUACGGUUAUCACCAGAGCAGCUCAAGACACGCCAAUGGGAAACCCCAGGAGAAAAUGUGUUUUUCCAAGUCUAGGAGAUGAAGAUAUUUAUCCAAGAGAAAGACGGCAAGCCUCCAAACUCAGGACACUUUAUUAAAAUGCUCAUCAGAUGAGAUCUUUUCAGUGGAGGUUCACAAGCUGGUUUGUUUAGAGGCUCUCACUAAGAAAUAGGACACUUGCCCAUCUCUCUGGAACACCUAGAGACAAAGCAUUUUCUGUCAAGACAAGUUCUGCUCACAUUGUGUCACUUGUUCAAGGUCUCAGCAAGUCUCCUUGGGGGCACUUCUUUCCUUGGGCAUCCACUUCACCUCCUUAAUGCAGAGCUGGCUAGGUGCCUGGGAUGGGGCAGAGCAGCGGCAGCAGAGGCCAUGUGGUCAGAACUUCAACUUCUCAGCUGCAUGCUGCUAGCUCAAUGGAGCACUAAGGGAAGCGGGAAGGGAGCAGACGGCUGCCACUCACAAAGGCCAAUCCCCCUCCCCACAGCAAGCCUCAUAUCCAUCAUGUUUUGCUAUGUUUCCUUCUGAUGCCAGCCCUGUGGGUCACCCACCCACCUACUUAUCAUGACUUCUCAUCUCUCCCCUCACAACACUGUCUUGUUUUGACUACUUCCCUCCUUCCAUGUGCUUCCAGCAACCCUAAGUAAGAACAAAGCAGUAAAAAAACGAAGCAGAAAAAUCCUACUCUUUGAAAGGAAGAGUUGGGUAGAGUGGAUGGGAUGGUGGGCUGGAUCCUAAAGGAAGAGUAGGAAAGAUUUGCAAAAACUUAAGGGUCAAGUUGAAAUUUAUAAUCAAUGCUUGAGUAUCUUUUCUUUAAAAAAAAAAAAACUCUUGAUGUCAGGCCGUUUUUAUUAAACUGUUAAAGUGAUUCUGAGAAAGAAUCAGAUAAGGAUAUCUGGAUCAUAAAAUUUUAGCAAAGAUCAUUAGAGAUAAUCUAGCAUCACUUGCCAUUUCACAGUUGAGGGAACUAAAGUGGAGUUAGUUACUCAGGCUAUUAAUGACAAAGAAGUGAAGGAGACCCUUGGUUAGCUGGGCCAGCAGUGCAGCGGUAUACGUUUCUCAAUGCCCUGCGGCCUACGCUAGCAAUACAUGUUAGACAUUUUCCAGAAAUUUACUACUUUUAUAAUUUCACAAGUAAAUACUCUCAAAGAAAGUUACUUCCUUAUAUGAGAGCCACAACUUGAAAGCUGGGUAACUUGUGUUUUGGGAGGUGCCCCCACCUGGUUAAAUGAAGUUACCCAUUUGAAGGAAUUUGAAGUCAUUUGGAAAGACAGUCUUAGGCCAGGCGUGGUGGCUCACGCCUAUAAUCCCAGCACUUUGGGAGGCCGAGGUGGGCAGAUCACGAGGUCAGGAGUUUGAGACCAGCCUUGCCAACGUAGUGAAACUUUGUCUCUACUAAAAAUACAAAAAUUAGCCAGGCAUGGUAGUGCGCACCCAUAGUCCCAGCUACUCGGGAGGCUAAGGCAGGAGAAUCACUUGAACCCAGGAGGCGGAGGUUGUGGUGAGCCGAGAUUGUGCCACUGCACUCCAGCCUGGUCAACAGAGGGAGGGUCCGUCUCAAAAAAAAAAAAAAAAAAGAAAGAAAGAAAGAAAAGAAAAGGAAAGAAAAGACUUUUCUGUGUGGCAGAGAAAGCCAACAUAGCAACAUUCUCAGUGGUACUGGAGUCUAGACAUCACCCUACUGACCUGGUCAGGACUCCUGGAUCAGCCCACUCUGAAACUGCCCACUACAGCUAGGUGGGGGGAACUUCCAAGCUCCUUA
rnacentral:lncRNA from 1 species